UAGAACGGAUCUGCUCAGCAUGCAGCUGAAAACGGAGUAGCCAAUGGAACCACUUUGGAUACGACCGAUCCACAGUUGUUUGGCGGAGAAAGGCUGUGGCAGCGGAAAAAGAGAAAAGUAGUGAUAUGUAACCAAAUUUCUUCCUGGACCGGGAUCUGCCGCCAAAUGCUGACUUUAACACCAACAUGGCCAAAAGCUGCAAACGGACCCGAUCUCCACUUUGUAAAUUUUGUUUAGGCUCAAGCUACCACCAUGUGCAAAACUUUCACUUUGCUGAAACGAAAAAAUCAAUCAAAGGAGAAAGAUAAGAUUUCCGCAAAAUCGUAAUUAGCUGUUGCGCAUUCUUUUAACGUUUUCGAUGAGAAUAUUUAUGGGCUCUUUGUAAGCACUUAUUAUUAGUAGUUGACCAAAGUUUCUUCGACACAAGGGAUAAGUUUGCGGACCAAUGCGUUUUCGGCAAACUAAACAAGAUCAACAAAAAAAAGACAACAAUAAAAUACGACUGGCACGGCUUCAUUGGUUUUGCGGUUGAAAUGUUGCAACCAGAACUGGCAGUGCCACAAAACUUUGACGACUAAAAAAGGCAGUAAGAUAAAUGAGUCGAAGCUUAAAUACACUUGGUAGUUAUUAAAAAUUAUUGAAGCUUCGCCUGGAAGAACCUACAAUAAACCCAUAAUCAUUGUGCAGCCCACUUUUGCACAGACUAAUAAUACCCCUUUCUCACCACCAUCAAAACCACGAAACAACGGCGAAAAACUGGCGAAUCUAUAAAAAUGCAAAUUAGAAGAAGCGAAAAAAUAACACAACAAACGACUCCAGAAACUGGAACGAACUAAGACUGCAACUCCAACUCAAACUCCGAUUUGGAUUCAGAUCGAGAGGGGCCGUCGAUAAACGUUACUCGUGCUAUUGCCUCUGGGCCACAAAAGCGUUGGCGUCCAGUCUCUGUGAUCUAUGGACUGACCGGCCCAAUUGGCCAAGAAGCGAUUUGGGUUAACUGCAGCUGCAACACGCCGACGAUCGGAAAACUCGGGCCAACUAAUUGUGCGGAAAUCUACGAGGCGCGUCAUAAAUACUGUCGCUUUUCUCAUCUCUCUUUCAGCAGAGCGGUCUUUGAUGGGAAGUUGCAGUUGCGCGAUGGUCAGUGGUUGCAUUUGCACCUGCGCAUUAAACAAUAAGAGGAUGCACCGAAAAAAAGUUAGUUAGGCGGCUUCAUUGCUAGAAUAGUUGAAUGUAUCUCAGAACCAAUAUAGAGAGUUUACAGAUUAUCAUUAUCCCAAUGCACAUGAUAAUAAAUAAAAAAUUGCAUUAAUUUAUAAUAAA
rnacentral:sRNA from 1 species